CAUAUUCCAGAAAAAGACAUUGGUAUGCCGUUGCUAAUACCAUUUUAACCAAUACAUUUUCUUUCUUUUAAUAAUAAUAAUAAUGGAGAUCAUUUAAUCUUUUUUAAGCCAAAAUAAAAGAGGUCAUAAAAGGCAUUGCCUUUCUUCUUUCUUUUCUCUCGUCCUUUUUAUACUGCAACUUUAGCCCAAUAUGGUUCAGCCCAUCACACUCUCUGGUCAGCUUCUUUCUCUAUUUCUCUAACUCAUCAAUGGAAAUAAUCUCCUAUUUCUAUCACCACCCUGUAAAUCUUUGAAUCCAAACUUUUGAGUUUUCUCUGUACAAUGUUACCAUAUCAUAAUCUAUGAAAACUCUUUGGUACGUGAGUUUUUCAGUUUAUUUAAUUGAAAAACCUUCUGUUAAUGUUUCUCUACGACUGAACUCUCUGCAGAUAUAUAUAACCAGAGAAGCACAGUACUUGAUUGGCUGGAAAAAGCUUCAGAAUGAUAUAUAUACACAAAAGCAAGUUUGAUAUUUCAAGAAACAACACAAGAAGAAGGAAAGAAGAAAGUCCCAUAUAUUCAAUCAUAAAAGCUCUGUAACUAUCUACUGCAAACGCACCACAUCUGCAUCAAGGAUUCUAAUGGCUCCUGUUAUGAAAUUGGUUCAGGUCAGCAAUAUGGAACUUCAAAGGAAACAGAUCAAUUAUUUAUAUUUCAGGGAAACAAUUUUCUGUUCUUUUCCUUUUUUUUUUCCCAAAAAGCUUCAUACUAACUGGAUCCCAAAGAUGAUGGUUCAAAUGUGUAGUGUUGAAAAUGAAACUUCCUUCUUUCAGACUCCUACUUGUUUGUUUCCAUGAUUUACUUCUUAGAGAAAAUAAGGGGGGUGAUUUUCUGUUUACCUUUUUCUCAAAGCAUCUUUCUUGCCUCUUCUGGCGGAAUCUUUUCAAAGCAGCUUCUCUUUGUGCAAAUCGAUUUCCAUCCGAUUCACUUCCUUCAAUGGUUUUCCCUCUUCCAGUAACCACACUCUCACUUUCUGUCUUUUUCCCUCUGGAGUUUGAAGCAUUGGUGCUUCUCUUUUGUCCGUUGCUACCAUGGUUACUACCUGACCCACUCCUGUUGAGACUGUGAUUACUAAUAUUGCCUUCCAUGGGUGCUCUCAAUGCAUUGGAUGAACCACACUGUGAAGCAUCUGCUGCCAUAGUUUUUGUAAAACAAAUCAACAUCGAUGAAAAGUUAUUAUGAAGUGGCCUCUCUGCAAAAGCCACUUGUUUGGUAAAAGCAUUAUUCGUAGUGGAUCCCAUGUCAUUAUUGUUGCUACUACCAUUGGAACCCUGGUUGGGAGGUGUACCAUUUGAAUCAGAUUGCAAAUUUGGGAUUGAUUCUGUUUUUGCUGCAUCUGAGCUAUUAUCUAGAGGAGAACAGCUCCCUAUGUUCCCUGUUGGAGCUUGGUUUGCAGUUGAAACAAUGUUAUACCUGCAUGGCAGCCUUGGAGAGUUCGUUUGGGACAUCAAGAACUCCACUUUCCAUGUGAGGAUCAAUACUAUAAUUGGAGACACCCAUCAGAUCAACAGCUUGGGUCUUUUCUGCACUCGGUUCUUCAUUGUUGAGGUCUAAUUCCCUUUUCUCCUGCUCCUGAUCAUCUUUCUUUGAGUUCAGUUCAGAACAUUUAUCUUUAUUAGUACCUUCCAUGUUGGUCAGCCCUUUUUCACUUGUGUCUUCAAGAAGGCUAGGUAAUCCUAUUUUCAAGUCUUUUCCCAUGACUUUUUUGUCUAAACAAUUUAAAUAAAUCAUAACUUAGAGAAUGAUCGAGAAUGGAAGAAAGUUAAAAAAAAAAAAGAUGUUAGGAAAAUUUGCCUACCAAGCUCAUCAUUAUGUGGGCGUGGUGUUACUGUUGCAUUUUCAGGUACCCAGUUGUUUCCAAAGGCUUCUUGCCUUGGAUGAUUGACCUGAUGAUUAGUGCUAUCAGGAAGAUCAGCAAACUGCUCCCACGACACUGCCUGAGGGCUGUCAACUUCUGCUCUCUUUGUCCAAGAGCUCUGUAAAAGCUCAGUACCAAACAAAAGAUGAAGAAACAAAUAAGGAAAAGAAAAUCAACAUUGAGCAACAAGUUGCUACUUUAUACAAAGUGAGAAUACCUCUCUCUCAAAACUUCAUUCGAACUUGGAUGAUAAUCGCCAAUGGUGGAAUAAAGUUCAAAAGUUAGAAACCAGAGGUUUUUCUUUUUUUUUUUCCUAUGAAGUUAAUUUUUUUUUUUUAAAAAAAAUUAUUUAUUUUUUUCUGUAGAGUUUGAGAAAUCUCAGUGAGUUUUGUACCAUUUUUUUUUUCCAAAUUAUAUUUAAAAAAAAAUAAUUGAAAAGAAAAAUUAUUGGUAGAGAAAGAAGGAAGGUUGGAAAGGUAAAUGGAAGCGAUGGAUAUAUGAUAUAAAUGAGAAAAAAGAUAUUAGAAUUGUCCCUACAAAGUUCUAAAUGGAGCGAAUAAAGGUUGCCACGUAGGACGCCACGUAAGAGGAAAAUGUUCUAGUGCGCUCCAAUAUCUAUAGCUGGGCUGUGAAUUGUUUACCGCGGAUCCAGAAGCGAUCCGUCAGAUCCGUAUUCGACACGUGGCGUUCUCUCUGAUGAGUAAAAGGUUUCCCAAAGGAAGUGGCUGCAAAUCCUUUCUAUUUUCGAAGCCACUUUCGCUUUUCCAUCCACAACCACACCUACUUUUGUUCUUCCCAUACCAAUUAUUAAUAAUAUAAUAUAAUAUAAUAUAAUACAAAUGAGUUCCACACCAUCAAAUUUAUAUCAUGCCUGAAUCAAUUUAGGUCUUUUUUAAGGAAAUUAUCUUUUACAUUUGUAUACUAUAUAUUAUUAAUAUUUUUAUGUUAGAUAUUAAAAUAAAAGAAAAUAAAAAAGAUAGAAUAUUUAGUAUUUUCCUUUUCUUUUUAUGCUUUUUUUAUACACUUAGUAAAAAUGGAGAAGUCUUUUCUCUCUUUUUGUAGGCGAGAAUACUUCAGAGUUUUCUUCUGAUUUAGUUUUUAUUAUUUUAUUUAUAGUGUAUUCGAUUAUAUUUUGAAUUCAAUUUAAUUUGCAUGAUAGCUUAAAGUUAUUCUAAAACAAAUUGGAUCAGUUAUUUUAGAUUGAUUACUUUAUAAAUAUUAAAUUAUUUAAUAUUAAUUAUAAAAUAUUUUUUUUUACAUCAUUAAAAUCACUUAAAUAUAAAAUAUAAAAUAUUCUUUUUAAAUUCUCCAACAAUAAAGUAAAAUAAAUUAUUAUUCUACAUCUCUAACAAUAAAUUCAAAUAAAUAAACAAAAAUAACAAUAAAAGAAAAAAAAUAAAAUUAUAUGUAUAAAGAGGAGAUUGAUAUAGUUUUAGAUUAUGUUUUAUUUUGUAUAUAAAAUAUAUAUUUGAUAUAUAAAAUUUUAAAAAUAUUUGUAUUAUGUAUUAGUUUUGUCUAAUUACUUUAAUGUAUUUAUAACUUUUAAAUAAAUAUAAAUAAAUGUAGAUUUAAUUAUGUUGACUAUAUUUGCAUGUAAAAAAAAUAAACAAUCUGUACUUUGUAAAUUGCAUUAGAUUAUGUGGAUUGAAUUUGAUUAAGUUCUUUAUGAAUAGCACUAAGAACAACUAGUAUUUUUUUUUUAAAAAAAAUAAAAAACUAAAUACUACUUGCAAUUUUUUAUUUAUUUUAUUUUUUGAAAACUACUACUAGUUUUAAUUCUAUAUGUAUAUGUAUAUUUUCCAAAUGAGUUUUGAAAAAAUAUUUGUUAAUUUUAAAAAUAUUUUUAUUAUUUUAAAGUAAACAUACAAUACAUAAACUUUAGGGGCUUUUUUAUUUUUACACAUCAAAACAAUUUUUUUUUUUUUUUUUUUUUUUUUUUUUUUUUUGCAUUUUUACGGAAUUCUACAUAGAAAUCCCUAUAACUAGCGCUGCAACCACUUUAGAAACCCAAACCGUAAAUUUGAAAAAAAAUAUAUUAAAAAAACAGUAUACGAGGUAAUUCUCCAAAACUUUAUGGGGUUUAUUUUUUAAAAUAUUUGUGUUAUUUUAAAGUAUUCAAAAUUUCUCAAAACUUGACAGAAUAUCUAUUGUAACUAUAAUAUACAAUAUUAUUUUUUUUAAAAAAAAAUAGAAUAUAAUAUCUUAAAGUAUGAAAAAUACAAAAUGUCCUUACAAUAUGCCCCACCUAAGAAGCUCCCAUGUAGGGUUGAACAUCAUGUGAGUGUUUCGAGUUCGCAAGUUUAGUGCUAAAAAAACACUCGUACCUACCAUGCAAUGACUGAGUUUGAUCGGGUUUAUGAGCCAUGGGUCCGCUAGAUCAUGAGUGGCUGUGUUACUGUAAAGACCGUUUAAUUUUGAUAUAAAAAUUAGCAGAUAAUGAGGGUUAAUUCAAAUACUAGACUUUUAAUUAUGAUUUAUGAAUUUAUGGGGAUAUAUUUGAAUUCUAGGUGUAUUAUUUGUGCUAUAUAUGAAAUUUCAUAUUUUUUUAUAUUUUAUGUCCGAUAACAGUAGAACGUGAUGUUAGGCCAAUAUAGUCAUAUUUUCGUAUAAUUUAGUAUUUUAGUAUUAGCAGGGCAAUAUAGAUAGACAUUAGAAAUGUCGAGAUUAUUCGGGGUACUAAGUUUGACCAAAAUACCCCUAGGUGGUAAGGAUACUUUUUGGCUUAGGCAAGGGCAAAUUAAUCUUUUGUCAUUUGAGUUAUUUGUCCUUUAGUGAUUUUCAAUUAAGUUAGUUAAUCUGCAAUUAAUUAAUGAGUGUUAGAUAAAUAUUAGGACUUGUCCUUUUAUUCAAAAAAAAUUAAAAAAUUAGAAAAGAAGCCACUUUCUCUUUCUCUUCAAUCCCAUCUCUCGAACCCUUGAGAAACCAACAGCAUUUGAGGAUUUCUUCAGCUCAAUUCAGGGUUUUCUAGCAAGAUUUUGGUGUUUUAACCCAAGGUAAACAUCAUAGCUUCCUUCUCUUUAUUUUUCCUAAGUUCAAGCUAAGUUUCUAGGCAUGAUUUUUGGAAUUAGGGUUCUGUGAUGUUAAGUGGUGUUUGAUUUUGUUUUCAGAGGUUAUUUUAAUGAUAUUUAAGCUAGUUUGGAACUGUUUGGGUGUUUGUUGUUGUGUUUGAGCAGAGUAUGAACUUUAGAGCUCAAACUUUGCUCUCACAUGGUGAUAUUUGUUUGAGUGGUUGUUUCUUGGUUUUAUUGCUUGGAUUAGGUUUAUUUUGAGUUGUUUAGGCACUCUAAAAGUUUUUGUGCAGUUUGGGGUCAUUUUGUGGUGUUGGUGUUAUUUUUGGGGAUUCAUGUAUUGAACUAGUCGAUCGGUUCAAUAUGACCUAUAGGAACCGAAAUUUUAGUUCAUCCCCAGGCAGACUCCCUUAGAACCGGUCUUCUGAUUGGGAAUCGAUAUAUCGGUUGGGGCAUUUUAGGGCACCUUAAAUUUUCCCGUAUAUACGAUAUAUAAGGUAUUUCCAUGUUAUCCAUCGAUAGGGAAAGUUUUAGUUUUGAUUUUAAGUCCUCGAAAAGUGAUUUAGUGUGUCACUCAUCAGUUUACAAAUAUUGUGAUUUAGGGGCCUAUAAAUCGUCGAGCAACUAUUCCACUCAGGUUGACCGACACACCUGGAUUCAGAAACGAGGUAAGGGCAAGGCUAAGGCUGAGCAGCCGUGAGAGCGAGUAGAUGAAAAUUGUACAUGUCAGGACGGUUAGACCUGCAGCAUACAAUCUUUGUGACAGCUUGUUGUAUUUUGUAUUGUCGCUAGGCAACAACUUUUGUAUCACAGUUGUAAACAUUUUAAACACGGGAUUUGGCUAUAUAAAAGUUAUUUUUUAUCAAAUCAAUAGUAAUUAAGUUAUUCAAAAAAAAAAAAAUAGUAAUUAAGUAAAAUUUUAAUUAUUCAUGAAUUUCAAUAAGCCUGUUGAUUAGCAACAGAUUGCACAAUUAAUAUAAAAUCACGAUAGCACGCCUAAACUAGUAAGGUAUUAUAAUUUGGUAUCAAAGUCGCCAGGUUGUGUUCCAAAGGUCGUCACGACAUGUACAAUCAUCAUUAGAGAUAAGCUCGACUCAUGGUUCAGUAAGUCUUUAUUGCUUUAGCAGUUUAUCUUAUUACUAUGUUAUAAGAAAAGCCUGAUAGGAAGCAUGUUAGUAGCCGAAUAGCUGAAUAUGCGCAUGUUUUAAUUUUUAAAAUAAGCGAUAAUUAGUAAAUUAUUCUUGAUCGCAAUCUGACCAGGCUAGCUCUUAGUUUUGUAGGCUGUUCUAUUAGAAUGGAUGCCAGGCAAAAUACAAGAAGCUAGGGUAACUCCAUCGGAUCUAAUGGCGAUCAGAGAGUUCAAUUUCCCCUGAAUAUACGUGGCCGAGGUAGAGGCCCUAGAGGCAGGGCACACGAUCGGGGAGAUGUUAACCUGGCGCAUGCUACCUAGGAUUGGGAAAAUAGGUUUGCAACAAUGAAAGCCAGAAUUAUUGAACAAGACGAAGAGAUCAAACGCUUGAGGUAGGAGGGUGCUCUUGCAAUGCAUGCUCCUAAAAUGCAAAUGGUUCCUACCCCUGCUUUGUAGGCGGGACCGGUUGCUGCUGUGAACCGGAUGGAAUCACUGUACGAAAGGCUCCGCAAGCAAGCACCUCCAGUCUUUUUGGGAGGUCUAGAUGUGAUGAAAGUCGAAUAGUGGUUGAUAGUUAUUACACGGAUUUUGAAUUUUAUAUGUGUCACCGAUAACAACAGAGUGGCUUGUGCCACAUUCCAAUUCUAGGAAGAUGCCCUGGUUUGGUGGGAUAUGGUGGCUCUUACAUGGGAUGUUACUACCAUUACCUGAGAAGAGUUCCAGGAAUUGUUCAAUGCAAAGUAUUACAACGAGGUAGUUAGAAGUGCAAAAAGGAAAGAGUUUACUCAGCUGACUCAGAAAGAGAAUAUGACCAUUACUGAGUAUACAACCCAAUUAAAUAGAUUGGCUAGGUUGACCUCGUGAAUUGUGUCAACCGAAUUUAUUAAGAAAGAGAAGUAUCUGGAUGGAUUGAGCCCUAAGAUUAAACACGACCUCAUGAUCACCACAGAUGAUAACACCACCUAUGCUGAUAUGGGUGGAAAAGCACUGUGAGCUGAGGGCACAGUUGAGUGCAUCUAGGAGUCCCGAGGGACUCAGGUUGUUGGUGGAGCCACUGCUCCUCCUACCUCAGGUUGUUGGUUGAGCCACUGCUCCUCCUACCUCGUGGCAACCGUCAAGGUGCUUCUAAAACCUGAUACACUUACCUUGAAUGUCCUAACUAUAAGAAGCACCAUCUGAGUGAGUGUAAAUGGCGAGAAUGUUUCCAGUGUGGUUUGCUUAGGCACUACAAGAGGGAUUACCCGCAACUCAAGAAAGAAGAGUAGAAGAUAGCAGCAAAGCCCGCCCCAACAAGGGUGUUUGCUCUUACGCAGGCUGAUGCAGAGGCUAGCCCCUCAGAUGUUACAGAUCAACUCUUGGUCAAUAACUCAUAUUUCUCCAUAUUGUUUGACUCUGGGCCCACUCAUUCAUAUGUGGUAGCUAAAAUUUUGAUAAAUUGGGUAGACCAUUUAAAGGUUAUGAUAAGAGGUUUGGAACCCUACUGCUUGGUGGAGAAUUAGUUAUCUCCAAAAUGUUGGUUCGGUCUAUGCCGACCAGAAUUGAGGAUGGAGAGUUGAGUGCUUAUUUAGUGGAAUUGGGAUUAGCGGAUUUUAAUAUCAAACUUAGAAUGGAUUUUUUAUCUAAGUACUCUGCUAGUAUUGACUGCAAGCGAAAGAUAACGAUCUUCCAACGUGAGGGCGAAGAACUAUUUGUAUUUGUGGGAUCAGUUUAGGGAUCCCAAAUUCCAGUGAUCUCGGUACUAAAAGCUAGAGAAUUAUUACAAGAUGGAUGCCUAGGGUUUUUGGCAGUUGUAUUGGAUACCACACGGCCUGAGUCAAUUCGGCUAGAGGAUGUCAGGGUGGUUCAGGAAUUUCUAGAUGUAUUUUCUAAUGAACUUCUGAAUUUACCACCGCAGCGAGAAAUAGAUUUUGUUAUCGAUUUAGCAUCUGGAGCAAAACCAGUCUCUAAAGCACCUCAUAGAAUGGCUCCGACAAAGCUUAAAGAAUUGAAGAUUCAACUUCAGGGGUUGCUUAACCUAAGGUUUUCACAACCUAGUGCGUCACCCUGGGGAGCUUCUGUGUUGUUUGUUAAGAAGAAAGAUGGAUCCCUAUGCAUGUGCAUUGAUUACUGGGAAUUAAAUAAACUAACUAUCAAGAAUAAGUAUCCUUUACCUAGGAUGGACGACUUAUUCGAUCAGCUUUAAGGAAAAACGAUCUUCUCUAAGAUUAAUUUUCGAUCAGGCUAUCAUCAGUUGAGAAUUCGAGAGGAAGACAUUCCAAAGACUGCUUUCUGUACUAGGUGGGCACUAUAAAUUUCUGGUUAUGUCUUUUGGACUAAUAAAUGCCCUAACAACUUUUAUGGACCUGAUAAAUAGAGUAUUGAAGGAUUUCCUCAAUAUAUGUGUUAUAGUAUUUAUUGCUGACAUCCUUGUAUACUCUCAAUCAGAAGUAGAGCAUGAGCAACACCACCGGAUGGUUUUGCAGCGAUUAUGAGAACAUAAAUUGUAUACCAAGUUUAAAAAGUAUGAAUUUUGGCUAUCUUAGGUGUCUUUUCUUGGACACAUUGUCGGUAAGGAUGGGAUCAAGGUCGAUCCAGGGAAGAUUGAAUCUGUCAGGGAUUGGCCGAGACCGAAGACAGUACUGAAGUCAGAAGUUUUAUGGGUUUAGCUGGCUAUUAUUGUUGGUUUGUUGAGAGAUUUUCUAAGAUUUCCACACCGUUAACCGAGCUCCCUAAAAAGAAUCAGUGGUUUCUGUGUACAGACAAGUGUGAAGCAAGCUUCUAGGAAUUAAAAUAGAGGUUGAUUACAGCUCUGGUAUUGGCCUUACCAUCAAAUAAAGAUAAGUUUGUGGUUUACUAUAAUGCAUCCAGAUAGGGUCUGGGGUGUGUUUUCAUGCAAGCUGAUUGAGUCAUCGCUUAUGCCUCUCGUCCGUUAAAGGAGUACGAACAAUAAUUGCCAACUCACGAUAUAGAACUUGUCGCGGUAGUUUUUGCUUUGAAGAUUUGGUGGCAUUAUCUCUACAGAGAGAAGUGUGAGAUUUAUACUGAUCAUAAGAGCCUCAAAUAUUUAUUUAUCUAGAAAGAUUUGAAUAUGAGACAGAGGCAUUGGUUGAAAUUGGUUAAGGACUACGACUAUAAAUUUUUUUACCAUCCCAGAAAAGACCAAUGUGGUGGCAGAUGCCUUGAGCAAAAAAGGUCUUGGGGAAGUAACUAAUAUGAUUAAGAUUUCACCUCAGCUAGCAGAUGAUAUGGUCAGAUCAUGUAUUGAGUUUGUUGUAGGCAAACUUAAUAAUUUGACAUUGCAAUCUAAUCUGUUAGAUAGAAUUAAGGUAGCUCAAUUAAUUGAUCCAGAAUUGGUGAAGAUCCGAGAGGAGGUUUUAGCUGGUCAAGCUAAAAUUUUUACAGUGUUAGGUAAUAGGAUGGUGUUGUAUAGAACCAGAGUUUGUGUUCCAAGCAGUGUGGAACUUAAAAAUGAGAUUCUUGAGGAAGCUCAUACCACUUCUUAUUCACUGCAUCCUGGCACUACCAAAAUAUAUCAUGAUUUAAAACCCUUCUACUGAUGGUGCGGGAUGAAGAAGGAUGUGGGUAGAAUUUGUAUCCCAGUGCUUGACCUGUUAGCAGAUUAAGGCUGAACACUAGAGACCUACAGGGUUGUUGCAGCCUUUGACUCUUCCUGAGUGGAAAUGGGAAGAUGUCACCAAGGAUUUUAUAGUUGGGUUACCUAGAACCACAAGGAUGUUUGAUUCUAUUUGGGUUGUGGUAGAUCGGUUUACUAAGUCCGCACAUUUUCUAACAGUGAAAACAACCUUUACAGUGGAUUAGUAUGCAAAAUUAUACGCGAAAGAAAUAAUGAGGUUACAUGGGGCUCUGAAGUCCAUCAUAUUGGAUAGGGAUCCGAAGUUUACCUUAAAAUUUUGGCAAAGUCUCUAGCAAGCCAUGGGUACCAAGCUGAAAUUUAGUACAACUUUCCAUCCUCAGACUGAUUGGCAGAUCGAGAGGACAAUUUAGAUACUUGAAGAUAUGUUGCGUGCAUGUGUGAUGGAUUUUGAAGGUUCCUUAAGCAAAUACCUACCACUGAUAGAAUUCUCAUACAACAACAGUUAUCAGAGUACCAUAGGGAUGACUCCCUAUGAGAUGUUGUAUGGCAGGAAGUACAUAUCUCCAAUUCACUGGGAUGAGACUGGAGAAAGGAAAUACUUAGGUCCAGAAUCAGUGUAACAGACCAAUGAGGCUAUAGAAAAGAUCAAGGCCAGAAUACUUGCCUCUCAUAGUAGGCAAAAGAGCUAUGCAGAUCCAAAACGUAGAAAUGUAAAAUUUCAGGUAAGAGAUCAUGUAUUCGUAUGAGUAUCUCUAAUGAAGGGGAUUAAACGUUUUGGGAAAAAUGGCAAGUUAUGCCCUAGGUUACAAGGCCUUUCGAGAUUCUCAAAAAUGUUGGACUGGUAGCAUAUUGUCUAGCCUUGCCUCCAGAACUUUCAGCAGUCCAUAACGUGUUUCAUGUCUCUAUGUUAUGGAAAUACAUUUCAGAUCCUACUCAUGUGUUGAGUUAUGAAAACCUAGAACUCCAGACGGAUUUGUCAUACGAAGAGCAACCAGUUUAAAUUUUAGACAAAAAAGAUAAAGUCUUUCAAAACAAGACCAUAGCUUUGGUCAAGGUGCUCUGGAGAAACAGUAAGGUGGAGGAUGCUACCUGGGAAUUGGAGUUCGAUAUGAGUGCUCAAUAUCUAGAGUUAUUUAGGUUAGAUUUCGAGGACGUAAUCCUUUUAAAGGGGGGAUAAUUGUAAAGAUCGCUUAAUUUUGAUAUGAAAAUUAGCAGAUAAUUAGGGUAAUUAAAAAAUUAGACUUUUAAUUAUGAUUUAUGAAUUUAUGGGGAUAUAUUUGAAUUUCUGGUGUAUUUUUUGUGCUAUAUAUAUAUAUAUGAAAUUUCAUGUUUUUCAUAUUUUAUGCUCGGUAACAGUGGAGCGCGACGUAGACCAAUAGAGUCACAUUUUCAUAUAGUUUAGUAUUCUAGUAAUAGCUAGACAAUAUAGAUAGACAUUUGGAUGUCGGGAUUAUUUGAGAUACUAGGUUUGACCAAAAUACCCCUAGGUGGUAAGGAUGUUUUUAGCUUAGCAAGGAAAAAUUAGUCUUUUGCCAUUUGAGUUAUUUGUCCUUUAGUGAUUUUUUUAAUUAAGUUAGUUAAUCUGAAAUUAAUUAAUGAGUGUUAGAUAAAUAUUAGCAUUUAUCCUUUUAUUAAAAAAAAUAGAAAAUUAGAAAAUAAGUCACUCUCUCUCUCUCUCUCUCUCUCUCUCUCUCUCUCUCUCUCUCUCUCUCUCUCUCUCUCUCUCUCUCUCUCUCUCUCUCUCUCUCUCUCACCCUUGAGAAACCAACAACAUUUUGAGGAUUUCUUUAGCUCAAUUCAUGAUUUUCUAGCAAGAUUUUGGUGAUUCAACCCAAGGUAAACAUCAUAGCUACCUUCUCUUUGUUUUUCCUAAGUUCAAGCUAAGUUUCUAGGCAUGAUUUUAGGAAUUAGGGUUCUGUGAUGUUAAGUGGUGUUUGAUUUUAUUUUCAGAGGUUAUUUUGAUGUUAUUUAAGCUGGUUUGAAAUUGUUUGGGUGUUUGAGCAAAGUUUGAACUUUAGAGCUCAAACUUUGCUCUCACAUGGUGAUAUUUGUUUCAGUGGUUGUUUCUUGGUUUUAUUGCUUGGAUUAGGUUUAUUAUGAGUUGUUUAUGUACUCUAGGAGUUUUUCUGCAGUUUGGGAUCAUUUUGUGGUGUUGGUGUUAUUUUUGGGGAUUCUUGUACUAAACCGAUCGCCCGAUUCAGUAUGACCUAUAGGAACUGGAAUUCCGGUUCAUCCCUAGGCAGGCCCCCUAAGAAUUGGUCUUCUGGUUAGGAAUUGGUCUACCAGUUGGGGCAUUUUAGGGCACCCUAGAUUUUCUCAUUUUUUACGAUAUUUAGGGUAUUGCCAUGUUAUCCAUAGAUAGGGAAACUUUUAGUUUUGAUUUUAAGUCCCCAAAAAGUGAUUUAGCGUGUCACUCAUCAAUUUACGAAUAUUGUGAUUAAUGAGCCUGUAAAUCGUCCAAUAGCUGUUCCACCCAGGUUGACCGGCACACCUGAAUUCAAAAACGAGAGUUGAUUGGAUACCAAUAUAUGUAUGUUCGGCUCAAAUACUGAUCGACGUUAUCACAUGGGUACGACUAGAGUACUGAGUAUAGGCUGAUAUUAUGGUCGAUAGUAUUGUCGUAUGAACGUUCUAAAAUUAGUACCACUUAAGGUAUGGGGAUAUGGUUACAGGUUGGUGUAUGGGCGCCUAAUUGUAAUUUGGGUUAUAUUUAUGAGUAUGAUUUUGCUUUUCUUACUGAGUUUUUCGACUCACAGUUACUGUUUGCAUGUGCAGGUAAGGGCAAGGCUAAGAGUGAGCAACCGUGAGAGCGAGCGGAUGAAAAUUGAUGUUAGGGUAGUUAGAUCGGGAGCGUACGAUCUUUGGGACAGCUGAUUGUACUUUGUAUUGUCUAUAGGCAAUAAAUUUUCUAUCAAGUAUUUUGUAUCACAGUCGUAAAUAUUUUAAACACGGGAUCCCGACUAUAUAAGAGUUAUUUGUUUUCAACUCAAUAGUAAUCAAGUAAAAUUUUAAUUAUUCA